UACGAAGGGUGCAAACGUUGCUCGGAAUUAUUGGGCGUAAAGCGCACGUAGGCGGCUUAGCAAGUUGGAUGUGAAAUCCCUCGGCUUAACCAAGGAAGUGCAUCCAAAACUGCUGAGCUUGAGUACUUAAGAGGAUCGCGGAAUUCCCGGUGUAGAGGUGAAAUUCGUAGAUAUCAGGAGGAACACCAGUGGCGAAGGCGGCGAUCUGGGAAGAUACUGACGCUGAGGUGCGAAAGCGUGGGGAGCAAACAGG
rnacentral:rRNA from 1 species